rnacentral:lncRNA from 1 species
CAAUAUUCUGCAUAAUCCAAAAUAUAUGUAUGUGUAAAGUAAAGUGUGCAGAGUGUGUACCUGAAUCGUGGAGUGGUGUAAUCGGAGUGUGUUUAGCAUGUUGAGGGAUCUCCCCCAUACUUGUUUUCUGCUUUCUUGCAUAAAAAUAAAGUAGAGACACACAAGACAUAAUAAUAAUACUCUUUAUUAAUCUUGAGGCAUUUAUUACAAAAGACUAGUAGCAAACUGAUGAUAGUAAACUGAUAAUAAUAGCAAACCUAAACCGAAUUUAAAGAUAGAUGACUAAAAUGCAUUG